rnacentral:rRNA from 1 species
GACGAACGCUGGCGGCGUGCUUAACACAUGCAAGUCGAACGGAAAGGCCCUGCUUUUGUGGGGUGCUCGAGUGGCGAACGGGUGAGUAACACGUGAGUAACCUGCCCUUGACUUUGGGAUAACUUCAGGAAACUGGGGCUAAUACCGGAUAGGAGCUCCUGCUGCAUGGUGGGGGUUGGAAAGUUUCGGCGGUUGGGGAUGGACUCGCGGCUUAUCAGCUUGUUGGUGGGGUAGUGGCUUACCAAGGCGUUGACGGGUAGCCGGCCUGGGAGGGUGACCGGCCACAUUGGGACUGAGAUACGGCCCAGACUCCUACGGGAGGCAGCAGUGGGGAAUAUUGCACAAUGGGCGGAAGCCUGAUGCAGCAACGCCGCGUGCGGGAUGACGGCCUUCGGGUUGUAAACCGCUUUCGCCUGUGACGAAGCGUGAGUGACGGUAAUGGGUAAAGAAGCACCGGCUAACUACGUG